GGCGCAGCGGGGCGCAGGAGGAACCAGGCCGGACGGUAGGAGUUUGGAGCGGCCCUGGGCAGCGCUGUACCUCCGGGAGGAGGCGCUCCCGGAGAGGCGUCGCCGCGAAGGAGGUGCACCCGGAGAUGCCCCUGACCUUCCAGGAUGUGGCUGUGUAUUUCUCUCCGGCAGAGCAGUAGCAGCUCGGCCCCCAACAACAGACACGUGAUGCUGGAAAAUUACGGAACGUGGCCUCUCUAGGAUUCCCAGUGCCAAAGCCUGAGCUGAUCUCCCAGCUGGAGCAAGGGGAGGAACUGUGGUUCCCAGAUCGCAUGAGAGCUGAGGAACCAGAGGUCUUUGGAAGCUGCUGAACGGGUGAGCGUGGGUGGAGAACCCCCCCAGAGGCUCCCAGGCCUGGCUCGGCUGCAAGAGGGACAGGGAUCCAGGGUCAGGGAUCCAGGGAUAGGGAUCCAGGGACAGGGAUCUGAGGGACAGGAAUCCGAGGGACAGGGAUCCGUGGCUUCUUCUAGAACAGCCUGACACUGGAGUGGUUUUCCUGGUCAUAUCCUUUCAAGUU